AUUGAACGCUGGCGGCAGGCCUAACACAUGCAAGUCGAGCGGAUGAAGGGAGCUUGCUCCUGGAUUCAGCGGCGGACGGGUGAGUAAUGCCUAGGAAUCUGCCUGGUAGUGGGGGCUAACGUCCGGAAACGGGCGCUAAUACCGCAUACGUCCUGAGGGAGAAAGUGGGGGAUCUUCGGACCUCACGCUAUCAGAUGAGCCUAGGUCGGAUUAGCUAGUUGGUGGGGUAAAGGCCUACCAAGGCGACGAUCCGUAACUGGUCUGAGAGGAUGAUCAGUCACACUGGAACUGAGACACGGUCCAGACUCCUACGGGAGGCAGCAGUGGGGAAUAUUGCGCAAUGGGCGAAAGCCUGAUCCAGCCAUGCCGCGUGUGUGAAGAAGGUCUUCGGAUUGUAAAGCACUUUAAGUUGGGAGGAAGGGCAGUAAGUUAAUACCUUGCUGUUUUGACGUUACCAACAGAGUAAGCACCGGCUAACUUCGUG
rnacentral:rRNA from 1 species